GACGAACGCUGGCGGCGUGCUUAACACAUGCAAGUCGAACGGUAAGGCUCCAGCUUUCUGGGGUCCACGAGUGGCGCACGGGUGAGUAACACGUGGGUGACCUGCCCUGCACUUCGGGAUACGCCUGGUAAACUGGGUCUAAUACCGGAUAUGACCAUGGUAUGGAUACUGUGGUGGAAAGUUUUUUCGGUGUGGGAUGGGCCCGCGUCCUAUCAGCUUGUUGGUGGGGUAAUGGCCUACCAAGGCGGCGCCGGGUAGCCGGCCUGAGAGGGUGGACGGCCACAUGGGGACUGAGAAACGGCCAAGACUCAUACGGGAGGCAGCAGUGGGGAAUAUUGCAAAAUGGGCGGAAGCAUGAUGCAGCGACGCCGCGUGGGGGAUGACGGCCUUCGGGUUGUAAACUCCGUUCACCAUCGACGAAGGGUUUCUGACGGUAGAUGGAGAAGAAGCACCGGCUAACUACGUG
rnacentral:rRNA from 1 species